UCCAACUUGAGAGUUUGAUCCUGGCUCAGAGCGAACGCUGGCGGCAGGCUUAACACAUGCAAGUCGAGCGGGCGUAGCAAUACGUCAGCGGCAGACGGGUGAGUAACGCGUGGGAACGUACCUUUUGGUUCGGAACAACCCAGGGAAACUUGGGCUAAUACCGGAUAAGCCCUUACGGGGAAAGAUUUAUCGCCGAAAGAUCGGCCCGCGUCUGAUUAGCUAGUUGGUGAGGUAAUGGCUCACCAAGGCGACGAUCAGUAGCUGGUCUGAGAGGAUGAUCAGCCACAUUGGGACUGAGACACGGCCCAAACUCCUACGGGAGGCAGCAGUGGGGAAUAUUGGACAAUGGGCGCAAGCCUGAUCCAGCCAUGCCGCGUGAGUGAUGAAGGCCCUAGGGUUGUAAAGCUCUUUUGUGCGGGAAGAUAAUGAC
rnacentral:rRNA from 1 species